CCCCCAAAAAAAACCACAAAAACAACAAAAAAGACUUCUAACCCUGACCAGACCAGAUUAUUUUGAAUGACAUCUCUUUCUCUCUCUGUUCCAUGAGCAGUUCUGUGUGUAGGGAGAUCAGUCCCUGUGCGUAGUGAUUUAAUCGGGUUUCUCUCUUCUUGGCUCAGAGUUUUUGACAGGGCUUUCACCUAGACCACAGAGAAAGAACCAAAUAAUAGGGGAUCCCAGAGGGGAAGGGAAGACCCAAACAUUUGAAUAGCCUAAUAAGUAAAUCACAUUUCUCUGGGUCUGUUUCCUUAUCUAUAAGUUGAAAAGUUUGGUCUAUGUGAUCUCGGGGGUACUGCUCAGCUCUUGGACUCUGUGAUUCUGGGUAGUGAGUCGAAAGCAGCUUUCCUCUUCCUGAAUUCUCCAUCCUUGUACCAGACCUCUGUCUUCAUUUCUCAUCUGUUUAUACCUUGCUGCCCAAUUUCUUGCUCCUGGGCAUCCUUUCUUCCUCAAUUUCCUCAAAUCCUACUUGCUUCUUAGCUCCUUCAUAUCCUCUUUGUUUUCUAUGUUUCUGCAGAACCCCAGAUUACACCCUUACACACCUGUUCCCCGGUUCUCCAUCUCCAUGUCUGCCUAUUCCUUUCUGCAUCACGGGCUCAUAACUCAAGCAAUCUCCUUGGGUUCCUCUCAGGGGCCCCUGGGAUCCCCUAUCCUUGGUCCCUCUCACAGAAGCAUACCCUUCUCCAGAGCCAAAGGAUCAGAUAUUCAGUGGCUCAGGUAACAAACCUGCUGUCAGGUUACAGAUAUUGUUUCCUGAAAGACCACACUACAGUGUCAGUGGAGCCUCAGGCUGCCUGCAGUGCCCUGCCCUCACCUGGCUAUCCCACACAGUUGAGAAUAACCAGAACUCCCCUCCGGUACCAGUGUUCACCUGGAAACAUGGCUCGGAGCCUCUGGCCCCGGCUGCCGCUGCUGCUGCUGUCCUUUGCAGUGACUCUUGCACCUACUGGGCCUCAGUCCCUGGGCCCUGGUCUCUCCUUCCUGAAGUCAUUGCUCUCCGCUCUAGACCAGGCUUCCCAGGGCUCCCUGAGCCACUCACGUUCUCUACAUUCCUGGCCAACAUUUCUUCUUCCUUUGAGCCUGGGAGAAUGGGGGAAGGACCAGUAGGAGAGCCCCCACCUCUCCAGCCACCUGCUCUCCGGCUCCAUGAUUUUCUAGUGACACUGAGAGGCAGCCCGGACUGGGAGCCAAUGCUAGGGCUGCUGGGGGAUCUGCUGGCACUGCUGGGACAGGAGCAGACUCCCCGAGAUUUCCUGGUGCACCAGGCAGGGGUGCUGGGUGGGCUUGUGGAGGUGCUGCUGGGAGCCUUAGUUCCUGGGGGUCCCCCUACCCCAACUCGGCCCCCGUGUACCCGUAAUGGGCCCUCUGACUGUCUCCUGGCUGCUGACUGGUUACCUUCUCUGCUGCUGUUGUUAGAAGACAAAUGCUGGCAAGCUCUGGUGCAGGUGCAGCCCAGUGUGGAUCCCACCAAUGCCACAGGCCUCGAUGGGAGGGAGGCAGCUCCUCACUUUUUGUAGGGUCCGUUGGGUUUACUUACCCCAACAGGGGAGCUAGGCUCCGAGGAAACGCUUUGGGGCGGUCUGCUACGCACAGUGGGGGCCCCACUGUAUGCUGCCUUUCAGGAGGGGCUGCUCCGUGUCACUCACUCCCUGCAGGAUGAGGUCUUUUCCCUUCUGGGGCAGCCAGAGCCUGAUGCCAAUGGGCAGUGCCAGGGAGGUGAGUGUGGCCAGGGCUGGGGCUGGGAUGUGGCAGGGCAAGGAAAGUGAAAUUGGGGUAGUUCUCUUCCUUACUCUUUCCCUCCUAGGUAACCUUCAACAGCUGCUCUUAUGGUAAGUAAGAGGGGACCAGUUCUGAGGGAUUGGGCCUGGAAAAUCUGGAGGUUGAGAGCUGACGACGUCAGCCUCUAGAGAGGAAAACUGAUGGGAGGAGUGUGGUUUAGUGGUUUUGGAGUGUGACUGUCUGGGUUGGUGUCCCAGCUCCACCUCUUCCUAGCCAUAUGACCUUGGGCAGGUUACAUAGUCUUUCUAUAGCUCAGUUUCCCCAUUUAUAAAAUGAGAAUGAUAAUAUUAGUUACCACAGAGUUGUUGCACCCCAUUAAAUGAGUUGAUACUGUGCAUGCAAACAAAACAGUGCUGGCACAUAGUGCUUAAUAAUGUUAGCUAGUAAAGAUGGGAUUUGGAAAAUAAGGACACAGCUGGAUUCCUCUACCCUCUUCCUACUUCAGUACAACAGUGCCAGAGCAUAGUUAAGACAUAUUGAGUUGCUGAGCAGAUUUCCGAACAGGAGGCCCGCUGAGGGCUGUGUUUAAGCUAUCUAAAAGCAUAUGAAGAAAGGAGACAGAAGGGAGCCAGGUGGACAGAAAGAAUUCCAACUGGGACUUCUCCUAGGUGAUUUUGGAGCUUGGCGGGGCAGCUCUCUCCUUUUUGCCCUGUCGCAGCAUUUCAACCAGUAAUGCCUAAACUCUCAGGGACCUUGCUUGUAGAAAAGCCUAUGCUUGCCAUGCCCCUUGAGGGCUCUGAGUCAGGGUCAGAAUCUUCAGCCAGAGGAAAUGUGAACUGAC